rnacentral:lncRNA from 1 species
AGAGAAUUUUAAUAUUUAUUUUUUAGUUUUCAGCGGACUUUGUUUGUAUGUGGUGCUGAGGAUCGAACCCGGACUGCACGCAUGCCAGGCGAGUGCGCUACUGCUUGAGCCACAUCCCCAGCCCCAGGGUCCGUCCUAUUACCAGGCAAUUUCCUUUCUCAUUUCUGGUCAUAGGUAAGGACAGAAACACAACCAACAGAUCACAUUUAGUAUCAACUCUGUUUCUGCCACCUCUCUGAAUCUGAAAAUCUAUCAGUUCCGAGUCAGUAAACUCAGAACUGAUAGAUUACCCUCCACACCAAAGGGGACUAACAGUUGUAGCUCUCCAAACUAGAAGCAAAGUAUACCUUUUAAACAUAUGUAGGAGUCUCUAGGGGAUGAUACAGACAGAGGAUGUCUUUAAGUAAUCAAUGUUUAAAGAAAGAGUACUCUUGAAUCAACUUGUCUACCUUUCAAGGGGGCUAAGAAAGUUGGUGUUGGCAGGGGGGAGGUAGAGAGAAAAGUUGGGGCUUUUAAAUUCUAAUCAACCAUUCCAAUUCAUCAUAGGGGGCUGGGGCUCUAGCUCAGUGGCAGAGCGCUUGCCUUGCAUUUGAGAGGUGCUGAGAAUCAAACCCAGCCGGAUUCCACCCUCAGCACCACAUAAAAAUAAACAAAAUAAAGGCAUGCUGUCCAUCUACAUCUACAAAAAACAAACAAACAAACAAAAAAACUCAUCAUACUGACUCUGAGGGGAAUGUAAGGGAGCUAUGAAAUUCAAAGAGGAGUUAGCAUGGGCAGAACACACAAAAACCUCUUUCCAAAACACAAGUAUUACCUGAGUUAUACUUUGCUUGUUCAAAUUAAUCUUUCUCUUUUCCAAGUUUGAUCCUAGUGACUUCAUAGACAUCAUACUCUUAUGUGUGGGAAAACACUACAGUGAGCAGCUUUCGUGUCAAAUUAGUGUUAAAAAAUCUCAGCAAUUCUAUUUAUUAAAGACACCAAGAUAGAAAAUCAUACAGGAGACAACGCAGAGGAAUAAAAGCUCUUAAGUCCAGUUUUCUGGGUUUGUUUUCCGAUUCUACUUAAUGGCUAUGAAACUUUGAGCAAAUUGCUAAAUAUAUGUGUACAUUUGUUUCCUCAUCUGUAUAAUGGGAUAACAGCUUUAUAAGCAACUACUGCAUAAGGUUGUAAAGAUUAAAUGA